rnacentral:misc_RNA from 1 species
GAAAUGCGAUAAGUAAUGUGAAUUGCAGAAUUCAGUGAAUCAUCGAAUCUUUGAACGCACAUUGCGCCCGCCAGCACUCUGGCGGGCAUGCCUGUUCGAGCGUCAUUUCAACCCUCAGAACCCCUUGCGGGAUCUGGCGUUGGGGAUUGGCAUCCAGCCAGCCCCGAAAUCUAGUGGCGGUCCCUCCGCGACCUCCCCUGUGCAGUAGCGAUACCUCGCAGCGGGACAGCGGUCUGACCACGCCGUAAAACCCCCAACUUCUCAAGGUUGACCUCGAAUCAGGUAUGAAUACCCGCUGAACUUCAGC